AAAAUUAUGAAAUGUAUAAGUCGCUCUGGAUAAGAGCAUCUGCUAAAUGACUAAAA
rfam:Salmo salar isolate Sally breed double haploid chromosome ssa20, whole genome shotgun sequence.